rnacentral:rRNA from 1 species
CAGUAGCCGCGGAAUACAGAGGGUGCGAGCGUUAAUCGGAUUUACUGGGCGUAAAGCGUGCGUAGGCGGCUUUUUAAGUCGGAUGUGAAAUCCCUGAGCUUAACUUAGGAAUUGCAUUCGAUACUGGGAAGCUAGAGUAUGGGAGAGGAUGGUAGAAUUCCAGGUGUAGCGGUGAAAUGCGUAGAGAUCUGGAGGAAUACCGAUGGCGAAGGCAGCCAUCUGGCCUAAUACUGACGCUGAGGUACGAAAGCAUGGGGAGCAAACAGGAUUAGAGACCCCAGUAGUCCCUGUCUCUUAUACA